AGGGCAGCCAAGUCGUGAGGCGGAGCUAAUCCCUUAAAGCCAUUCUCAGUUCGGAUUGUAGGCUGAAACUCGCCUACAUGAAGCUGGAGUUACUAGUGAUCGCAGAUCAGAAUGCUGCGGUGAAUGCGUUCCCGGGUCUUGUACACACCGCCCGUCACACCACGGAAGUUGGGGGCGCCCGAAGCCACUUAGCUAACCCUUUUGGGAAGCGAGUGUCGAAGGUGAAAUCAAUAACUGGGGUGAAGUCGUAACAAGGUAAC
rnacentral:rRNA from 1 species